ensembl:miRNA
GGGUGGGGAUUUGUGGCAUUACUUGUGUUCCAUAUAAAGUAUUGCACUUGUCCCGGCCUGU